rnacentral:rRNA from 1 species
UACAGAGGUCCCAAGCGUUGUUCGGAUUCACUGGGCGUAAAGGGUGCGCAGGUGGUUUGGCAAGUUUGACGUGAAAGCCCCGGGCUUAACCCGGGAAUGGCGUUGAAAACUGCUUGAACUGGAGGGUUGGAGGGGGGGACUGGAAUUCUUGGUGUAGCAGUGAAAUGCGUAGAUAUCAAGAGGAACACCAGUGGCGAAGGCGAGUCCCUGGACAAUACCUGACACUGAGGCACGAAAGCCAAGGGAGCAAACAGG